AGCGAACGCUGGCGGUAGGCCUAACACAUGCAAGUCGAACGGCAGCACAGUACGUGCUUGCUCUUACGGGUGGCGAGUGGCGGACGGGUGAGGUAUGCAACGGACUCUACUUUUUCGUGGGGGUUCACGUAGGGAAGGUUACGAUCAUACCGCAUACGCCCUACGGGUGAAAGCAGGGGAAAUUUGGACCUUGCGCGGUUGGAUGCGCCGAUGUUGGAUUAGCUGGUUGGCGGGGUGAUGGCCCACCCAGGCGACGAUCCGUAGCUGGUCUGAGAGAAGGAUCGGCCACACUGGAGCUUAGACACGGUCCAUGCUCCUACGGGAGGCAGCAGUGGCGAAUAUUGGACAAUGGGCGCAAGCCUGAUCCAGCCAUACCGCGUGUGUUAAGGAGGCCUUCCGGUUGGAAAGCCCUUCUGUUGGGAAAGAAAAGCAGCAGGUUAAGACGCCGCUGUUCUGACGGUACCCAAAGAAUAAGCACCGGCUAACUUCGUG
rnacentral:rRNA from 1 species